rnacentral:rRNA from 1 species
UACGUAGGGUGCGAGCGUUGUUCGGAAUUACUGGGCGUAAAGCGCGCGCAGGCGGUUCUUCAAGUCAGAGGUGAAAGCCCAGAGCUCAACUCUGGAAUGGCCUUUGAGACUAGAGAACUAGGGUACGGGAGAGGUGAGUGGAAUUCCGAGUGUAGAGGUGAAAUUCGUAGAUAUUCGGAAGAACACCAGUGGCGAAGGCGACUUACUGGACACAUAUUGACGCUGAGGUGCGAAAGCGUGGGGAGCAAACAGGAUUAGAUACCGAGACG